UACAGUGAUCGCGCAACUGGUUCGGCUCCGAGGCCAUCGGAGUCGUCGCAAGAGGGAACCCGGUGAGACUCCGGGACUGCCCCGCAACGGUGAGUGGGAACCAACCACCAGUCCGAUGACCUGCCAGCGCGCCGGGCCACGUG
rnacentral:ncRNA from 1 species